rnacentral:lncRNA from 1 species
GCCGGUCCAGUUGCUUAGAAAAGUGAUGGAUCUGUGAGCGCCAACAUGGCCUUUUCAUGCGGGUCAUUAGGCGGCGAGAUUGGCACAUAAAGGAUAGAUCCUUAUCAGAGAGGGAGGAGGGUUGGCCGAAAAAGAUGGAGGAAGGAUGCCAGAGAUGAUGACGGAGAGUGGGGUGGAGAGAGGGUGGCUGGAGUGGAAGAGUCGGAAGGAGAAU